rnacentral:rRNA from 1 species
GACGAACGCUGGCGGCGUGCUUAACGCAUGCAAGUCGAACGGAAAGGCCCUGCUUUUGUGGGGUGCUCGAGUGGCGAACGGGUGAGUAACACGUGAGUAACCUGCCCCUGACUUUGGGAUAACUUCAGGAAACUGGGGCUAAUACCGGAUAGGAGCUCCUGCUGCAUGGGGGGGGUUGGAAAGUUUCGGCGGUUGGGGAUGGACUCGCGGCUUAUCAGCUUGUUGGGGGGGUAGGGGCUUACCAAGGGUUUGACGGGUAGCCGGCCUGAGAGGGUGACCGGCCACAUUGGUACUGAGAGACGGCCCAGACUCCUACGGGAGGCAGCAGUGGGGAGUAUUGCACAAUGGGCGGAAGCCUGAUGCAGCAACGCCGCGUGCGGGAUGACGGCCUUCGGGUUGUGAACCGCUUUCGCCUGUGACGAAGCGUGAGUGACGGUAAUGGGUAAAGAAGCACCGGCUAACUACGUG